AUUGAACGCUGGCGGCAGGCUUAACACAUGCAAGUCGAGCGGGGGAAGGUAGCUUGCUACCGGACCUAGCGGCGGACGUGUGAGUAAUGCUUAGGAAUCUGCCUAUUAGUGGGGGACAACAUCUCGAAAGGGAUGCUAAUACCGCAUACGUCCUACGGGAGAAAGCAGGGGAUCUUCGGACCUUGCGCUAAUAGAUGAGCCUAAGUCGGAUUAGCUAGUUGGUGGGGUAAAGGCCUACCAAGGCGACGAUCUGUAGCGGGUCUGAGAGGAUGUUACGCCGCACUGGGACUGAGACACGGCACAGACUCCUCCGGGAGGCAGCAGUGGGGAAUAUUGGACAAGGGGAGGAAACCUGAUCCAGCCAUGCCGCGUGUGUGAAGAAGGCCUUAUGGUUGUAAAGCACUUUAAGCGAGGAGGAGGCUACUCUAGUUAAUACCUAGGGAUAGUGGACGUUACUCGCAGUAUAAGCACCGGCUAACUCUGUGCCAGCCGCCGCCGUAAGAC
rnacentral:rRNA from 1 species